ACUCAAAGGAAUAGACGGGGGCCCGCACAAGCGGUGGAGCAUGUGGUUCAAUUCGAUGCAGAGCGAAGAACCUUACCUGGGCUUGACAUGGCGGAAGUAGGAGGCUGAAAGGCCGACGACUCGUUGAGUCGAGAGCCGCCACAGGUGGUGCAUGGCUGUCGUCAGCUCGUGCCGUGAGGUGUUGGGUUAAGUCCCGCAACGAGCGCAACCCUCACCCGAUGUUGCCAGCGGGUAGUGCCGGGGACUCUUCGGGAACUGCCGGCGAAGAGCUGGAGGAAGGGGGGGAUGACGUCAAGUCCGUAUGCCCCUGAUGUUCAGGGCUACACACAUGCUACAAUGGGUGGUACAGAGGGCAGCGAACCCGCGAGGGGGAGCCAAUCCCAGAAAGCCACUCUCAGUUCGGAUUGCAGGCUGCAACUCGCCUGCAUGAAGGCGGAAUCGCUAGUAAGCGCAGAUCAGCAGGCUGCGCUGAAUACGUUCCCGGGCCUUGUACACACCGCCCGU
rnacentral:rRNA from 1 species